rnacentral:rRNA from 1 species
ACGGAAUAGAUACCCCCGGUAGUCCACGCCCUAAACGAUGUCUACUAGUUGUCGGGGAUUCAUUUCCUUGGUAAACGCAGCUAAACGCGUGAAAGUAGACCGCCUGGGGAGUACGGCCGCAAGGUUAAAACCUCAAAGGAAUUGACGGGGACCCGCACAAGCGGUGGAUGAUGUGGAUUAAUUCGAUGCAACGCGAAAAACCCUUACCUACGCUUGACAUGCCAGGAACUUUCCAGAGAUGGAUUGGUGCCCGAAAGGGAACCUGGACACAGGUGCUGCAUGGCUGUCGUCAGCUCGUGUCGUGAGAUGUUGGGUUAACGU